rnacentral:tRNA from 1 species
GUGGCCAUAGCUCAGCUGGUUAGAGUGCCAGGUUGUGGCCCUGGAGGUCGUGGGUUCGAAUCCCACUGGCCACCCCA